UUGCAUAUGUAUGUAUAUAGCUAAAUAAAAAAUUAGUUACAAGAAUAAGAACACAAGAGUUUAUAAUGAACCUCCUGCUCACAUAGUCACCCUACUAUUUGCCCUUGAUUCCCAAGGUCUACAUAUCACUCUAAGAAUGAAUUAUAAAAAAUAAACAGAGAGAUUGAUCUUAUAUAGAGGGAUCAAUCUCUGCAACUUCUCAAACAACUAACUAAUUAAUCCCUAAAAAUUAGGAUAGUUAGUUACGAAGAACAAAAC
rnacentral:lncRNA from 1 species